rnacentral:rRNA from 1 species
GACGAACGCUGGCGGCGUGCUUAACACAUGCAAGUCGAGCGGUAAGGCCCUUUCGGGGGUACGACGAGCGGCGAACGGGUGAGUAACACGUGGGUGACCUGCCCUCCAGCUCUGGGAGUAAGCCCGGGAAACUGGGUCUAAUACCGGAUAUGACUCCAUGACGCAUGUUGUGGGGUGGAAAGCCUUGUGCGGCUGAGGAUGGGCCCGCGGCCUAUCAGCUUGUUGGUGGGGUGAUGGCCACCAAGGCGACGACGGGUAGCCGGCCUGAGAGGGCGACCGGCCACACUGGGACUGAGAUACGGCCCAGACUCCUACGGGAGGCAGCAGUGGGGAAUCUUGCGCAAUGGGCGAAAGCCUGACGCAGCGACGCCGCGUGAGGGAUGACGG